UUUGAUGAAAUCCCACAGAGGGGUUAAUGUUUAUGUAUAUGAUGAAUAUAGUGCAUGCACAGGUUGAGUUUGGUGAAUGAAGAAAAAGAAAAGUUUUUAAUUCUUAUGUAUGUUUGUUGAUCAUGUAUGGGAUUAAACAGGUAAACAGGAUGUAUGUAGGCUUGCUACGGGUUCCGGCGGCCUUAAGCCGACCUGAAUCCUAGCGCCGGUAGCGGUCCGGUUUUUUUUCGGGGCGUUACAGAGUGGUAUCAGAGCCCUAGGUUCAUAUGGUCGGACCUAGAGUGUCGGGCUCAUAGAUGUUAUAGAAGGUCAAGCACAAUAGGAAAAAGUCAUGUCCACUAGGAUAGGAUGUAGAGUCCUGUCUUGCUAUGAUGAUAUGAUAUGCCAUGAUAAAAUGCAUGUGCAUAAAUGAUGUGAUAUGUAUGUGAUGAGGGUUCAUGUGUGCCCACAUGAACCAUU
rnacentral:lncRNA from 1 species